GACGAACGCUGGCGGCGUGCUUAACACAUGCAAGUCGAACGGAAAGGCCCCUUUGGGGGUACUCGAGUGGCGAACGGGUGAGUAACACGUGAGAAACCUGCCCUUGACUUCGGGAUAACUUCAGGAAACUGGGGCUAAUACCGGAUAGGAAUCCUUGCUGCAUGGUGGGGGUUGGAAAGCUUCGGCGGUUUUGGAUGGACUCGCGGCUUAUCAGCUUGUUGGUGGGGUAGUGGCUUACCAAGGCUUUGACGGGUAGCCGGCCUGAGAGGGCGACCGGCCACAUUGGGACUGAGAUACGGCCCAGACUCCUACGGGAGGCAGCAGUGGGGAAUAUUGCACAAUGGGCGGAAGCCUGAUGCAGCAACGCCGCGUGCGGGAUGACGGCCUUCGGGUUGUAAACCGCUUUCAGCAGGGGCGAAGCUUGUGGUGACGGUACCUGCAGAAGAAGCACCGGCUAACUACGUG
rnacentral:rRNA from 1 species